rnacentral:rRNA from 1 species
CGAGCGCAACCCUCGCCUUUAGUUGCCAUCAUUCAGUUGGGCACUCUAAAGGGACUGCCGGAGCUAAUCCGGAGGAAGGCGGGGAUGACGUCAAGUCCUCAUGGCCCUUANCAGGGUGGGCUACACACGUGCUACAAUGGCGACUACAGAGGGUUGCGAACCAGCGAUGGGGAGCCAAUCCCUAAAAGUCGUCUCAGUUCGGAUUGCACUCUGCAACUCGAGUGCAUGAAGUCGGAAUCGCUAGUAAUCGCGGAUCAGCAUGCCGCGGUGAAUACGUUCCCGGGCCUUGUACACACCGCCCGUCACAUCAUGGGAGUUGGCUUUACCACGAAGGCGCUGUGCUAAUCCNACAAUGGAGGCACGGCGACCCCUC